rnacentral:misc_RNA from 1 species
AUUGUCACUGUUUCUUUCCUUGUUGCUGUUUUCCUGUACAUCCUCUGCAUACAAUGUUAGGUUGGUUAGAAUUGGACUGAAAAAGCUGAAAUUGGAUCAAAACAGCCAGAUUGCUGCUCGGCUUGAGUCAAAAAAUGCUGAGGCUUUCAGAGCUUCUUUGAGGAAGUAUGGUCUCCAUGGUAACCUGGCAGACUCUGGGGGUCCUGAUAUUGUAGCACUGAAGAACUACUUGGAUGCUCAGUACUACGGUGAAAUUAGCAUUGGCACUCCG